rnacentral:rRNA from 1 species
UACAGAGGGGGCAAGCGUUGUCCGGAUUUACUGGGCGUAAAGGGCGUGCAGGCGGUUUGUUAAGUGCAGGGUGAAAGCUCCCGGCUCAACUGGGAGAGGUCCUUGCAUACUGGCAAACUCGAGGGAGGCAGAGGAAAGUGGAAUUCCCGGUGUAGCGGUGAAAUGCGCAGAUAUCGGGAGGAACACCGGUGGCGAAGGCAGCCCCCUGGGCUAACACUGACGCUCAGGCACGAAAGCGUGGGGAGCAAACAGG